UAUAAAUUGUGACUUGUAUUGCCAUGAAAAAGAACAACGAUCGGAUCAUGAAUUGACGGCUCGGAUUAAGCAAAACAAGUGGCCUAUAAACGGCUAAACGCCACCCGUUCAGAGUGAUGGUUGACGAAUGCGUAGGACCGCCCAUCGUUAUAGCAGCAGCGGCGGAUCCGCGCCCUCCGGGUCUGGGUGCUGCCGCCCCGCCACGCCCCGGAAGUCAUCCCCGGACGCGGACGCACACCUCCCAACACGUCCCGUCCACCCCGGCCCGAUCCUCCGCGCACGCCAGACAGAGGUGGGCGAGCACUACUACACACACCCAUCCACGCUCACUACAAGAGCCAGCCACGCACGCGACCGCGCCCAAGGACACGACGACCAACCAAGGGAGAAGAGAAGAGAAGAGAAGAGAAGGGAGAGGGCGGCGACGAGGGCGCACGACGGCACGCCGAACGCUCUCGCAAUGCAUCACGCCAAGACCGACUCGGAGGUGACGUCGAGCAUGGCGCCGUCGUCGCCUUCGCGGGCGCCCUACUACGUGCAGUCGCCCAGCCACGACGACGGCGAGAACCACUCCAAGACGGCCGCCUCCUCCUUCCACUCCUCCCCGGCCGCCUCCCCGCCGCGCUCGCUCGGGAACCACUCCAGGGAGUCCUCCUCCUCGCGCUUCUCCGGCAAGGUCCCCUCCGCCGGCUCGUCCCGCCGCGGGGUCGCCGGCGGAGGCGGGAAGCGCGGCGGGGGUGGCGGCGGCGGCGAGGCGGCGCGCCGCAGCCCCUGGAUGAAGGAGGCGGCCAUCGAGGAGGAGGGGCUCCUCAUGGAGGACGACGACGACGCCGACGGCCGCGCCGGCGGCUUCUCGGCGCUCCCCAAGAAGGUGCGCUACGGGCUGGCCUUCGUCGGCGCCUUCCUCGUGCUCUUCACCUUCUUCGCCCUCAUCCUCUGGGGCGCCAGCCGCAACCAGAAGCCCGUCGUCUCCGUCAACAGCGUCACGUUCCACAGCUUCGUGAUCCAGGCGGGGACGGACGCGUCGCUGGUGCCCACGGAGAUGUCCACGAUCAACGCCACGGUGAGGCUCACGUUCCGCAACACGGGGAGCUUCUUCGGCGUGCACGUCACGGCGCAGCCCGUCACGCUCUACUACUCCCAGCUCCUCAUGGCAUCCGGCGACAUGAAGUACUUCUACCAGCCUCGGAAGAGCCAGCGCAAGGUGGCGGUGACGGUGGUGGGCAACAAGGUGCCGCUGUACGGCGGCGGCGCGGGGCUGAGCAGCACGCCGGGGCCCAAGGGCGUGCCCCCGCCGCCGGUGCCGCUGCAGCUGACGCUGAGGAUCAGGGCGCGGGCGCUGGUGCUGGGCAAGCUGGUGAAGCCCAGGUUCUACAACAACGUGCAGUGCAGCGUCCGCCUGGACACGACCAAGCUGGGCAAGGCCAUCUCCCUCAAGAAAUCAUGCACCCACGUCUAGCCACCCUGCCAGACCUUUCUUCUUGUUGUUGCUGCAUAUGUUAUGUCCGUAAUGUAAUACUCCUACGUGGAUUACUGCCAUUUUGAAGGGAGAAAGCAUCAUGUCUGUUGUGUAUGUACAGAUGAAUUUUGUCGCCUGCGUCGGGAUGGAAUGAAUGAAUGAUCACGCGUUUCUUGCCGCAUUUUUCC
rnacentral:rRNA from 1 species